rnacentral:rRNA from 1 species
ACGAACGCUGGCGGCGUGCCUAAUACAUGCAAGUCGAGCGGAAUGAUGAAGAAGCUUGCUUCUUCUGAUUUUAGCGGCGGACGGGUGAGUAACACGUGGGCAACCUACCUUGUAGAUUGGGAUAACUCCGGGAAUCCGGGGCUAAUACCGAAUAAUCCAUUUUGCUUCAUGGCGAGAUGUUGAAAGACGGUUUCGGCUGUCACUACAAGAUGGGCCCGCGGCGCAUUAGCUAGUUGGUAGGGUAAUGGCCUACCAAGGCGACGAUGCGUAGCCGACCUGAGAGGGUGAUCGGCCACACUGGGACUGAGACACGGCCCAGACUCCUACGGGAGGCAGCAGUAGGGAAUCUUCCACAAUGGACGAAAGUCUGAUGGAGCAACGCCGCGUGAGUGAAGAAGGUUUUCGGAUCGUAAAACUCUGUUGUAAGGGAAGAACACGUACGAGAGUAACUGCUCGUACCUUGACGGUACCUUAUUAGAAAGCCACGGCUAACUACGUG